rnacentral:rRNA from 1 species
UACGUAGGGGGCUAGCGUUGUCCGGAUUUAUUGGGCGUAAAGAGCGUGUAGGCGGCCUGGUAGGUCUGCUGUGAAACUCGAGGCUCAACCUCGAGAUGUCGGCGGAAACCAUCUGGCUAGAGUCCGGAAGAGGAGAGUGGAAUUCCUGGUGUAGCGGUGAAAUGCGCAGAUAUCAGGAAGAACACCUAUGGCGAAGGCAGCUCUCUGGGACGGUACUGACGCUGAGACGCGAAAGCGUGGGGAGCGAACAGG